rnacentral:rRNA from 1 species
UUAAGCGACUAAGCGUACACGGUGGAUGCCCUGGCAGUCAGAGGCGAUGAAGGACGUGCUAAUCUGCGAAAAGCGUCGGUAAGGUGAUAUGAACCGUUAUAACCGGCGAUGUCCGAAUGGGGAAACCCAGUGCAAUUCGUUGCACUAUCGUUAACUGAAUACAUAGGUUAACGAGGCGAACCGGGGGAACUGAAACAUCUAAGUACCCCGAGGAAAAGAAAUCAACCGAGAUUCCCCCAGUAGCGGCGAGCGAACGGGGAGCAGCCCAGAGUCUGAAUCAGCUUGUGUGUUAGUGGAACGGUCUGGAAAGUCCGACGGUACAGGGUGAUAGUCCCGUACACCAAAAUGCACAGGCUGUGAACUCGAAGAGUAGGGCGGGACACGUGGUAUCCUGUCUGAAUAUGGGGGGACCAUCCUCCAAGGCUAAAUACUCCUGACUGACCGAUAGUGAACCAGUACCGUGAGGGAAAGGCGAAAAGAACCCCGGCGAGGGGUGAAAAGAACCUGAAACCGUGUACGUACAAGCAGUGGGAGCACCUUCGGGUGUGACUGCGUACCUUUGUAUAAUGGGUCAGCGACUUAUAUUCUGUAGCAAGGUUAACCGUAUAGGGGAGCCGCAGGGAAACCGAGUCUUAACUGGGCGUUAAGUUGCAGGGUAUAGACCCGAAACCCGGUGAUCUAGCCAUGGGCAGGUUGAAGGUUGGGUAACACUAACUGGAGGACCGAACCGACUAAUGUUGAAAAAUUAGCGGAUGACUUGUGGCUGGGGGUGAAAGGCCAAUCAAACCGGGAGAUAGCUGGUUCUCCCCGAAAGCUAUUUAGGUAGCGCCUCGUGAACUCAUCUUCGGGGGUAGAGCACUGUUUCGGCUAGGGGGUCAUCCCGACUUACCAACCCGAUGCAAACUACGAAUACCGAAGAAUGUUAUCACGGGAGACACACGGCGGGUGCUAACGUCCGUCGUGAAGAGGGAAACAACCCAGACCGCCAGCUAAGGUCCCAAAGUCAUGGUUAAGUGGGAAACGAUGUGGGAAGGCACAGACAGCCAGGAUGUUGGCUUAGAAGCAGCCAUCAUUUAAAGAAAGCGUAAUAGCUCACUGGUCGAGUCGGCCUGCGCGGAAGAUGUAACGGGGCUAAACCAUGCACCGAAGCUGCGGCAGCGACACUAUGUGUUGUUGGGUAGGGGAGCGUUCUGUAAGCCUGCGAAGGUGACCUGUGAGGGUUGCUGGAGGUAUCAGAAGUGCGAAUGCUGACAUAAGUAACGAUAAAGCGGGUGAAAAGCCCGCUCGCCGGAAGACCAAGGGUUCCUGUCCAACGUUAAUCGGGGCAGGGUGAGUCGACCCCUAAGGCGAGGCCGAAAGGCGUAGUCGAUGGGAAACAGGUUAAUAUUCCUGUACUUGGUGUUACUGCGAAGGGGGGACGGAGAAGGCUAUGUUAGCCGGGCGACGGUUGUCCCGGUUUAAGCAUGUAGGCUGGUUAUCCAGGCAAAUCCGGAUAAUCAAGGCUGAGGUGUGAUGACGAGGCACUACGGUGCUGAAGUAACAAAUGCCCUGCUUCCAGGAAAAGCCUCUAAGCAUCAGGUAACAUCAAAUCGUACCCCAAACCGACACAGGUGGUCAGGUAGAGAAUACCAAGGCGCUUGAGAGAACUCGGGUGAAGGAACUAGGCAAAAUGGUGCCGUAACUUCGGGAGAAGGCACGCUGGUGUGUAGGUGAAGUCCCUGCGGAUGGAGCUGAGACCAGUCGAAGAUACCAGCUGGCUGCAACUGUUUAUUAAAAAACACAGCACUGUGCAAACACGAAAGUGGACGUAUACGGUGUGACGCCUGCCCGGUGCCGGAAGGUUAAUUGAUGGGGUUAUCCGUAAGGAGAAGCUCUUGAUCGAAGCCCCGGUAAACGGCGGCCGUAACUAUAACGGUCCUAAGGUAGCGAAAUUCCUUGUCGGGUAAGUUCCGACCUGCACGAAUGGCGUAAUGAUGGCCAGGCUGUCUCCACCCGAGACUCAGUGAAAUUGAACUCGCUGUGAAGAUGCAGUGUACCCGCGGCAAGACGGAAAGACCCCGUGAACCUUUACUAUAGCUUGACACUGAACAUUGAGCCUUGAUGUGUAGGAUAGGUGGGAGGCUUUGAAGCGUGGACGCCAGUCUGCGUGGAGCCAACCUGAAAUACCACCCUUUAAUGUUUGAUGUUCUAACGUUGGCCCCUGACCGGGGUUGCGGACAGUGUCUGGUGGGUAGUUUGACUGGGGCGGUCUCCUCCCAAAGCGUAACGGAGGAGCACGAAGGUUAGCUAAUCCUGGUCGGACAUCAGGAGGUUAGUGCAAUGGCAUAAGCUAGCUUGACUGCGAGCGUGACGGCGCGAGCAGGUGCGAAAGCAGGUCAUAGUGAUCCGGUGGUUCUGAAUGGAAGGGCCAUCGCUCAACGGAUAAAAGGUACUCCGGGGAUAACAGGCUGAUACCGCCCAAGAGUUCAUAUCGACGGCGGUGUUUGGCACCUCGAUGUCGGCUCAUCACAUCCUGGGGCUGAAGUAGGUCCCAAGGGUAUGGCUGUUCGCCAUUUAAAGUGGUACGCGAGCUGGGUUUAGAACGUCGUGAGACAGUUCGGUCCCUAUCGCCGUGGGCGCUGGAGAAUUGAGGGGCUGCUCCUAGUACGAGAGGACCGGAGUGGACGCAUCACUGGUGUUCGGGUUGUCAUGCCAAUGGCACUGCCCGGUAGCUAAAUGCGGAAGAGAUAAGUGCUGAAAGCAUCUAAGCACGAAACUUGCCCCGAGAUGAGUUCUCCCUGAGACUUUAAGUCUCCUGAAGGAACGUUAAAGACGAUGACGUUGAUAGGCCGGGUGUGUAAGCGCAGCGAUGCGUUGAGCUAACCGGUACUAAUGAACCGUGAGGCUUAACCU